rnacentral:rRNA from 1 species
CCUACGGGCGGCAGCAGUCGAGAAUCAUUCACAAUGGGGGAAACCCUGAUGGUGCGACACCGCGUGGGGGAAUGAAGGUCUUCGGAUUGUAAACCCCUGUCAUGUGGGAGCAAAUUAAAAAGAUAGUACCACACGAGGAAGAGACGGCUAACUCUGUGCCAGCAGCCGCGGUAAUACAGAGGUCUCAAGCGUUGUUCGGAAUCACUGGGCGUAAAGCGUGCGUAGGCUGUUUCGUAAGUCGUGUGUGAAAGGCGCGGGCUCAACCCGCGGACGGCACAUGAUACUGCGAGACUAGAGUAAUGGAGGGGGAACCGGAAUUCUCGGUGUAGCAGUGAAAUGCGUAGAUAUCGAGAGGAACACUCGUGGCGAAGGCGGGUUCCUGGACAUUAACUGACGCUGAGGCACGAAGGCCAGGGGAGCGAAAGGGAUUAGAUACCCCAGUAGUC